GGAUCCAGACUUUGAUUAUGGCUCAGGACGAACGCUGGCGGCGCGCCUAACACAUGCAAGUCGAGCGGGAAGCUUUUUAGGGAUUCUUCGGAUGAAUUAAAAAGUGGAGAGCGGCGGACGGGUGAGUAACGCGUGAGAAACCUGCCCUAUACAGGGGGAUAGCCAUUGGAAACGAUGAUUAAUACCCCAUAUGACCACAGUAUCGCAUGAUACAGCGGUGAAGACUCCGGUGGUAUAGGAUGGUCUCGCGUCUGAUUAGCUAGUUGGUGGGGUAACGGCCUACCAAGGCGACGAUCAGUAGCCGGCCUGAGAGGGUGACCGGCCACACUGGAACUGAGACACGGUCCAGACUCCUACGGGAGGCAGCAGUGGGGAAUAUUGCACAAUGGGCGAAAGCCUGAUGCAGCGACCCCGCGUGAACGAUGAAGGCUUUCGAGUCGUAAAGUUCUGUUCUUGGGGAAAAUACCGACGGU
rnacentral:rRNA from 1 species